rnacentral:rRNA from 1 species
AUUGAACGCUGGCGGCAUGCCUUACACAUGCAAGUCGAACGGCAGCACGGGAGCAAUCCUGGUGGCGAGUGGCGAACGGGUGAGUAAUAUAUCGGAACGUGCCCAGUCGUGGGGGAUAACGUAGCGAAAGCUACGCUAAUACCGCAUACGAUCUACGGAUGAAAGCGGGGGAUCGCAAGACCUCGCGCGAUUGGAGCGGCCGAUAUCAGAUUAGCUAGUUGGUGAGGUAAAGGCUCACCAAGGCGACGAUCUGUAGCUGGUCUGAGAGGACGACCAGCCACACUGGAACUGAGACACGGUCCAGACUCCUACGGGAGGCAGCAGUGGGGAAUUUUGGACAAUGGGCGCAAGCCUGAUCCAGCAAUGCCGCGUGCAGGAUGAAGGCCUUCGGGUUGUAAACUGCUUUUGUACAGAACGAAACGGCUCUUUCUAAUACAAGGGGCUAAUGGCGGUACUGUAAGAAUAAGCACCGGCUAACUACGUGCCAGCCGCCGCCGUAA